rnacentral:ncRNA from 1 species
AGUAUUGUGACAGUAAUCCAACUUGGUACGAGAGGAUUAGUUGGUUCAGACAAUUGGUACAGCAAUUGGUUGAUAAGCCAGUGUUGCGAAGCUAAGUCUGUUGGAUAAUGACUGAACGCCUCUUAAGUCAGAACCCAUACUGAUUAGACAAUUUUAUAUUGUUCUUUUUGUUUAAAUAUAAAAAUAUUAUUAUUUUUUUUUACUGCUAAUGUAAAUGAGAAAUUAUACAUAUAUUAGAAAAAAAAUGUAAUUAAUUGUUUUUUUUUCGCUUUAUAAUAUAUCAAUAAUCCUAUCUUUUUAUAUAUAUGUAUGUGUAUACAUAUAUAUAUAUGUAUAUAUAAAUAGAUUGUAAUUUAACAACAAAAAGUGUUAAGCAUAUUGUAGACGACUUUUCAGUCUCAGAGUGCUGUAAACAUGAGAGUAAACUAAGUUUUACGAUCUGUUGAGGCUUAUCUCUUGUGACAAUUAGCUA